AGUGUUUCAGAGAACCCUUUUAGGCCAAAACUCCAAAAGGUAUUGGAACAACACCACAAAAGGUUAAUAAAACAAAGUAUGAACCUUUUUAUACUUGUAGCACCAGAAAACAUGACUUGCAACUCAUGGAUGGUGAACUCAGAGGAUAUUUGCAGAAUAUGCUGAGUGUUGUCAGCACAAACGAGCUCCCUCGGGACCCUUUGUCAUCCAUCGAAUAUUUACCAUACUGGAAUCGGAAUGGCCUUCUAGUUAUCAAGACUUUAUUUGUUCCAUUGAUGACACUGCUGUAAGGAAGGAAAUAGAGAAAACAUGGUAAACAAAUUCAGACAAUGAUAUUAGGAAAGAGAGAAAUUGUGAUUUUCCCCGCAUCCUUUGUAUUUUCAGGUGAACUAAAAUAAUAUUUGAACAUGUAUCUAAAAUAAAUAUAUAAUGGUAUAAUUAUAAUAGUAAAAUUAUUAAAACAAAAAGAUCUGAAGGAAAAAAGGAAGGCUGACCUGAACUCUUGCACCGUCAGUUUAAAUGGGCGUGAUACCCCAGAAACUGCAGUCCACUAUCAUUGCUUGUUUGCUCUAGAGCAUAUGGAUAGAGCACAAUAUAUAUGUGUUUAAUGACCACAAGUUAACAACGAGACAAAUCCAAGGUGGCAUCUAAUCUUCGUGUUUGGGCUUAUCGUGCUAAGGAUGUCCAAAAGCCGCACUGCAACAACGAGCGUAAAUUCUACUCUGCCACCUAAUUUAGGCGUUUCUCCAUUCGCACAAAUAUAAAAUUUGAAUAAUUCGCACAGGCCCCGAACCUUCUGCAUUCCUUAAUUUAAUGUUCAGGUGAGCAAAAUGCAUGUUGUAGUUCCCCUAAAAAAAGUUUGAAUGGGAGCGACUGUUGCUACAGUCACAUUAGCAGAAGGAAUAGAGGAAUCUACAGUGUUUUCCUUGAGAUCAAUAUUGUUCAUAUAAAUAAAUCUAUAGACUGUAAAAAAACUAAAUGGUGAUACUUAUCGACAGUACCUCUUUAGUAUAUGCGAGAGCCUGAGUGCAACUUCACGUUAGUAGUCGCUGAGAGUAGCAUGUACUAUUGCAGUGCUCGUCUGCUCGAGAUGAAACUGCACCUAUUAGCAUGUAUUAUUGCAGUGCCCACUCUAUGUCAUUUGCAUACUCAGAGGACCACCACCAGUGUUGCCUUUGAACUGGCUAGGGUUGAGCAUAACACCUCACAUGAUGUCCAAUUUUGUACCUAAAAGUAGAGCAG
rnacentral:lncRNA from 1 species